rnacentral:rRNA from 1 species
UACGUAGGGUGCAAGCGUUGUCCCGGAAUUAUUGGGCGUAAAGAGCUCGUAGGCGGUUUGUCGCGUCGAAUGUGAAAACCCGGGGCUCAACCCCCGGGCCUGCAUUCGAUACGGGCAGACUAGAGUUCGGUAGGGGAGUCUGGAAUUCCUGGUGUAGCGGUGAAAUGCGCAGAUAUCAGGAGGAACACCGGUGGCGAAGGCGGGACUCUGGGCCGAUACUGACGUGAGGAGCGAAAAGCGUGGGGGAGCAAACAGG